UGGUAAGAUUAUUUUCUUUGUUUCUUGUUAUUAUUUUAUUCCAAUUUAAUUAUUGAUUAACCUUUCAACAUGAAUUAACCAGCAUUUCGAUUCUCAAUAAAAUAUCAUCGAGUAAAUAAAAUACAACAGACGAACAGGUUGUUAUUUAUUUAUCACUUUCCAAAGAGAAUAGAAAUGUUCUUUUCACCUUGAUAUAGUGGAAAGUUCAGACGUAAUAUUAAAAAAAAAAUCUCAGGAUGAACACCACUCACCAAGGGUAAGUAUUGGAAUAGAAAAAUUCAGACAAUAUUGUGUUUUCUUUUCUCUCCAUCUUUCUUUCCCAUUCUUUCCUAUUCUAUGUUUACAGUUUUAUCAAUAUUUUUCCAGAAUUUACUCAAGGGACAGAUGAAGAGAUGGAUAGACAUGAAAUUCUCAAGUAGAAAAAAAAGAAACACUGAGUACAGUUUAAGUUGUUCUAAAUUCUUUUUUUCUUAUCAUUUUAAUGCUGUUGUUUUUAACUAUUACUUUUCACUCAGUGCCCAUUCCAUGAGAAUUUUAUCUUCUCUCCUCUCAAUUGCACCUUAAUGGCUCUUACGUUCAUCACCAAUAUCACCUUUUCAAGAAAAAAGCUCAAGAAUUAUUUGAUCGGCCAGUUUCAUGGUCGAUAGACUCAUUCGUGGGACAAGGACUUGGAAUUGCAACUUUUAAGAUGACCAAAUGACCUCAAGUGAUUACCUUUAUUCCUUACAACUUUCUGUUAGAAUAUCUUGAAGAUCAAGUUUACAUUUUUCCUCGGAUUCUCUUCCAUCAUCACCCUCUUCAAGCAAAGUUUUUAAGAGAUAUUAUCAGGCCAUCAAACGAGGAAACAUUAUUACUGUUCAUAUUUCUCUUGUUCUUCUAGCCGAUAAGCCAUCAGAUUACAAUCGUAAAGUUAUUAUGCAAAUUUCAUCUACCAAAUUGAGAUGAGUUAAUUUGCUUCUCAUAUCAUGUUAGAAAAUUAACUCAUCACCAACCAAAUAAUCAAUUCAAUCGAAAACCUUUACAAGUGCCAAUCAUUUUCAAAUUUAUCUCAUAGAGACAAGAAAAAAAAUGUUGAUAUCAAUACAUUUCAUGUCAUCAUAAAUGUCUCAAAGUGAUAACUUGAAAAUGAUUGAUAUCACCAUCUACCUCCUUCAUAUUACCUCCUCUCUUCAACCUAACAAUUUAGACACUAACACCAAUCACAACAAUUGAUUGUCCCUCUCAAAAUAUCUAUAACCCGAUACACGAGAAACUUUUUCAAUAGCAAAAGAAACUCGAGAAAAUGUCACCAUAACCGUACCUUUAAUUUUCCCAAAAUGAAUAACCCAUAAUAUUAGUAAUAAUAUUAAUCAAGAUAAUAGUUAAAUUAAUAACAGAAUAGGAAAAUAAUAAUAACCAAUAUUCAGUUAACUAACAGUCCAGAUAAACUGAGUACAUGUUAUUUACAUUUAUUACAAGAGUAAAUGUAAAUAGCAUAAUGAUUAUGUAUACAAAACUAACGAUAUUAUCAUCAUCAUCAUCAUCAUCAUCAUCAUCUGUGAUCGAUCAUGACACUUAUCAUGAAAACAAGGAACAGGACAAUUGAUGAUAUGAUUAAUAUUAUUAUUAUUAUUAUCACAACAAUUGUUUCUAUCAAAAUUCCGGAUUCUCUGUUUAUCAGAAUAGCCCUGAGAAUCAAAUGAUCAACUAUCAACUUGAACAACAAGAGAAAGAAAAAAAAAUCUACUUAAGAGAGUUAAAUUGUUAUUCUCAAUCAAUAUCAAAUUGGAGCGCAGAAUCAACUGAAAUGAUUAUCAUGGUGAUGAUCAACUAACAAUUACUGUUAUCAAACAAUUUAACCAGAAUUACAUGAGCCAGUCACAGAUAUGGAUGAUGUUUGAUGAGUAUGAAUAAAAUAACUCAAGGGAUUAUUAGAAAUUCUGGAUGAUGGCGAUGCAUCUUUAUCAUCAUGGUUCACAUGUAAUAUUAUCAAGAACUUGACAUUAUGCCAACAGAAAAUGUGCUGGAAAAGAAUUGAAAAGUCACCAAGGAUGAAUCAUGAAGAAAAGUUCAUUUAUCUGAUUCUGUUAUUGUUUCCAUCAUGAUGAUCAUCAUGAAAAUUAUUCAUAUUUAUAUUAUUUAUCUGAAUCAACUCAGGUAUUAUUUUUUCUAUUUGAUGGUUGAGUAAAUUCAACCAUAAUCAUAUGUUAAUAUACACAUGACAAUGACCAUAAUGUUCAUUAACGUUAAUUGUUGUUAUAUAUUCAUAUGAAUAUAUAUCAUGAUUCAUGGUUAGAUUUGAUUACUGGAAGAUUGAAAUUGUUGAUUAAUUUCCGUUGAAAGUUGAUAUAAAUAUCAGAGACAAUGGUUAAUAUAUUUAAUUUCAUGCUUAUAAUUCAAAUCAUCAUCAUCAUCAUGUUAAUUACUAAUAAUUGUAAUGUUAAUUUACUCAAUAGUUAAUAUACUUUAUUUUUCCUGGUGAAUUUUUUGCUUACACUGAUUAUCUUAUCUAAUCGUUGAAUCUCAUUCAAUUCAACAAUCAAGGAAAUUCAUGAUAAUCUCUCUCAUAAUUCUGAUUGUUGUUUGGUAAAAAAUAGUUAAUUACUUACAUUUAUGUUAAAUCAUUUGGAUGAUUAAAAAUCUGAGUCAAUUUAAUUUCUUCAUCAAUUUGCCAUCCAUGUGAACGUGAUUGCCAACGAAUCAGUGAUUUAUCAGUUAAUUGUUGCUAACCGAAACCCUUGUCUAAUAAAUUGGUUAAUUGUUUUACAAAAGGAAGCAAUUAAAUUUCCUUAAUGGUAACAAUUAAAUUAUCUCACCAGAGGUUUUUAAAUCAUUUACCUUUUAGCUGUUAAAUGGUUAGGCAAUUAACAUUGAUUAAACUUGAUUUCAUCAACUUUUCAAUCAGCUGAUUUAUUUAAUUGUCAAGAAUUGAAAACUUGAUAUUCAAUUGGCUGAUUAAAACUGUCAGUUAUUUCAUCUAACUAAUUGUAAACAUGAGCAAUGGACAAUCAACUUAACCAUUUUAAUCAAAUACAAUUUGACUCAAUUCAAGAGACUGAUUAAUUAUUAAUCAUGAUACUAAUUUAAAUACAAUUAAUUUAAUAGAUUACCAGCUGAGUUGAUUAAAGAGGAGAACAUGUAAUAAAUAAUCGGUUUAAUUGUAAUUCCUGUAAAUCAAUUUAAAUCCGAUUGCGUGGACAUAUAAUAAAACAAUUUAAAAAAAUCUAAAUUUUAUUAUCACAGUUAACUAAUCAUUC